GUCUGCGUGGUGUAGUGGUCAACCCGCUCGACGUGUAACCGAGAGGCUCGUGGUUCGAUUCCCGACGAAGGUU
rnacentral:tRNA from 1 species